GACGAACGCUGGCGGCGUGCCUAAUACAUGCAAGUAGAACGCUGAAGGAGGAGCUUGCUUCUCUGGAUGAGUUGCCAACGGGUGAGUAACGCGUAGGUAACCUGCCUGGUAGCGGGGGAUAACUAUUGGAAACGAUAGCUAAUACCGCAUAAUAGCAGUUGUUGCAUGACAACUGUUUGAAAGGUGCAAUUGCACCACUACCAGAUGGACCUGCGUUGUAUUAGCUAGUUGGUGGGGUAACGGCUCACCAAGGCGACGAUACAUAGCCGACCUGAGAGGGGGAUUGGCCCAACGGGGACGUGGACAAGGCCCAAACCCCUAAGGGGGGCAGCAGUAGGGAAUCUUCGGCAAUGGACGGAAGGCUGAACGAGCAACGCCGCGUGAGUGAAGAAGGGUUUCGGAUCGUAAAGCUCUGUUGUAAGAGAAGAACGAGUGUGAGAGUGGAAAGUUCACACUGUGACGGUAUCUUACCAGAAAGGGACGGCUAACUACGUG
rnacentral:rRNA from 1 species